GGGAUUGCCCUAGUAACGGCGAGUGAAGCGGCAACAGCUCAAAUUUGAAAUCUGGCUCUCUUUGGGGGUCCGAGUUGUAAUUUGCAGAGGGUGCUUCGGCGUUGGCCUUGGUCUAAGUUUCUUGGAACAGGACGUCACAGAGGGUGAGAAUCCCGUAUGUGGCCACAGGUCUUCGCCUUGUGAAGCCCUUUCAACGAGUCGAGUUGUUUGGGAAUGCAGCUCUAAUUGGGAGGUAAAUUUCUUCUAAAGCUAAAUACGGGCCAGAGACCGAUAGCGCACAAGUAGAGUGAUCGAAAGAUGAAAAGCACUUUGGAAAGAGAGUUAAAAAGCACGUGAAAUUGUUGAAAGGGAAGCGCUUGCAGCCAGACUUGCUCGCAGUUGCUCAUCGAGGCUUACGCCUCGUGCAUUCUUCUGCGGGCAGGCCAGCAUCAGUUCGGGCGGUCAGAAAAAGACCUUGGGAAUGUAGCUCUCUCCGGAGAGUGUUAUAGCCCAGGGUGCAAUGUGGCCAGCCUGGACUGAGGUCCGCGCUUCGGCUAGGAUGCUGGCGUAAUGGCCCCAAGCGGCCCGUCUUGAAACACGGACCAAGGAGUCUAACAUCUAUGCGAGUGUUUGGGUGCAAAGCCCGGGCGCGCAAUGAAAGUGAACGGAGGUGGGAACCCUUUGGGUGCACCAUCGACCGAUCCUGAUGUCUUCGGAUGGAUUUGAGUAAGAGCAUAGCUGUUGGGACCCGAAAGAUGGUGAACUAUGCCUGAAUAGGGUGAAGCCAGAGGAAACUCUGGUGGAGGCUCGCAGCGGUUCUGACGUGCAAAUCGAUCGUCAAAUUUGGGCAUAGGGGCGAAAGACUAAUCGAACUAU
rnacentral:rRNA from 1 species